AACGAACGCUGGCGGCAUGCCUAACACAUGCAAGUCGAACGAAACCUUCGGGUCUAGUUGCGCACGGGUGCGUAACGCGUGGGAACCUGCCCUUAGGUUCGGAAUAACUCCCCGAAAGGGGUGUUAAUACCGGAUAAUGUCUUCGGACCAAAGAUUUAUCGCCUUUGGAUGGGCCCGCGUUGGAUUAGCUAGUUGGUAGGGUAAAAGCCUACCAAGGCGACGAUCCAUAGCUGGUCUGAGAGGAUGAUCAGCCACACUGGGACUGAGACACGGCCCAGACUCCUACGGGAGGCAGCAGUGGGGAAUAUUGGAGAAUGGGCGAAAGCCUGAUCCAGCCAUGCCGCGUGAGUGAUGAAGGCCUUAGGGUUGUACAGCUCUUUUACCCGGGAUGAUAAUGACAGUACCGGGAGAAUAAGCUCCGGCUAACUCCGUG
rnacentral:rRNA from 1 species